rnacentral:tRNA from 1 species
GCGCCUGUAGUGAAGUCUGGUUAUCACCUGAGGUUUCCAACCUCAUGUCGUGGGUUCGACUCCCGCUAUCCGCA